rnacentral:lncRNA from 1 species
AGUCAGCCUUCUGUCUCCAGGCCUGUGGACUGGCUCUUCCCUCUUCCUGGGCACUCUUGCCCUGGCACCCCUCCAGCUGGGGCUCAAAUGUCACCACCUGGGUGAGGUCUGCCCCGCCUCCCCAGCCGGAGGCACUGCUGGCUCUUCCUCUCUUUCUCCAUCACAGUUAUCACGCCAACAUACGAUGGGAAGAACUUGUCUGUCUGGACAGGGAUCUCUGGGUGUUCUGUGCACAGCGGGUGGCACAGGGUGGGCUCUCAAUAAAUCCUGAGUGACUGAAUGAACGGAAAUGUCAGCCAGCAGCAUCAGCGGCAGCCUGGGGCUCCAGUUCCCUCUUCCCAUCACCAAACGGCCCUGGGAAACAUCAAGGCCCAGUGACA